UACAGAGGGUGCGAGCGUUAAUCGGAAUUACUGGGCGUAAAGCGUGCGUAGACGGUUUCGUAAGUCGGGUGUGAAAGCCCCGGGCUCAACCUGGGAAUUGCAUUCGAGACUGCGUAGCUAGGGUGCGGAAGAGGGAAGCGGAAUUUCCGGUGUAGCGGUGAAAUGCGUAGAUAUCGGAAGGAACAUCAGUGGCGAAAGCGGCUUCCUGGUCCAGCACC
rnacentral:rRNA from 1 species